rnacentral:rRNA from 1 species
CCUACGGGUGGCAGCAGUGGGGAAUAUUGCGCAAUGGGCGAAAGCCUGACGCAGCGACGCCGCGUGAGGGAUGAAGGUCUUCGGAUCGUAAACCUCUGUCAGCAGGGAAGAACGGUCACUGUGCUAAUCAGCAGUGAAUUGACGGUACCUGCAAAGGAAGCACCGGCUAACUCCGUGCCAGCAGUCGCGGUAAUACGGAGGGUGCGAGCGUUAAUCGGAAUUACUGGGCGUAAAGCGCUCGUAGGCGGUAAGUCAAUUCAAGGGUGAAAUCCCCGCGCUCAACGUGGGAACUGCCUUUGAAACUGGCAAACUGGGGUGUGUGAGAGGAUAGUGGAAUUCCAGGUGUAGGAGUGAAAUCCGUAGAUAUCUGGAGGAACAUCAGUGGCGAAGGCGACUAUCUGGCACAUAACUGACGCUGAGGAGCGAAAGCGUGGGUAGCAAACAGGAUUAGAUACCUCUGUAGUC